CCUACGGGAGGCAGCAGUGGGGGAUAUUGCACAAUGGAGGGAACUCUGAUGCAGCGACGCCGCGUGAGGGAAGAAGGUUUUCGGAUUGUAAACCUCUGUCUUCGGUGACGAAACGAGACGGUAGCCGAGGAGGAAGCCACGGCAAACUACGUGCCAGCAGCCGCGGUAAUACGUAGGUGGCAAGCGUUAUCCGGAAUUACUGGGUGUAAAGGGAGCGUAGGCGGGAAAGCAAGUUGAAUGUUUAAGGUACGGGCUCAACCUGUACAAGCGUUCAAAACUGUUUUUCUUGAGUGGAGUAGAGGUAAGCGGAAUUCCUAGUGUAGCGGUGAAAUGCUUAGAGAUCAUACAGAACCCCGAUUGCGAAGGCAGCUUACCAAGCUACGUCUGACGUUGAGGCACGAAGGCGUGGGGAGCAAACAGGAUUAGAUACCCUAGUAGUC
rnacentral:rRNA from 1 species